rnacentral:rRNA from 1 species
CCUACGGGCGGCAGCAAUUAGGAAUCUUGCGCAAUGGGCGAAAGCCUGACGCAGCGACGUCGCGUGACCGAUGAAGUCUUUCGGGAUGUAAAGGUCUUUUCUGGGGGAAGAAGGAUGUGACGGUACCCCAGGAAUAAGCCCCGGCUAACUACGUGCCAGCAGCCGCGGUAAUACGUAGGGGGCGAGCGUUAUUCGGAAUUCCUGGGCGUAAAGGGCGUGCAGGCGGGAGAGCAAGUCUGAUGUGAAAGCCCGGGGCUUAACCCCGGAAGGGCAUUGGAAACUGCGUUUCUUGAGUUCUGGAGAGGAAGGGAGAAUUCCCGGUGUAGAGGUGAAAUUCGUAGAGAUCGGGAGGAACAUCAGUGGCGAAGGCGCCCUUCUGGACAGCAACUGACGCUGAGACGCGAAAGCGUGGGGAGCAAACA